rnacentral:tRNA from 1 species
CGGGAAGUAGCUCAGCUUGGUAGAGCACUUGGUUUGGGACCAAGGGGUCGCAGGUUCGAAUCCUGUCUCCCCGACCA